AGUAACUUUUAAAAUAUUAUGCGAAUGUGAUAUUAGUUUAUAUAUUUUAACUACUCAAUAGUUUACCUUUACAAAAAAAAAGUUUAGUCAAGAUCAUUAUUUAUAAUAUAAACAAAGACUGGUCGUAAAAUAACGAGAAAAAAAUGGUUUCGGAAGCGUGGAAGUACUUUAAUAAAGUUGUGGUAAAUGAUAAGAAGUAUGGAGAUUGCAAAAAAUGUCAUAAAAGAAUCGCUUGUCCAGGAAGCAGCACAAAUGGCCUUAUUGGACACGUCAAAAGUUGCGAGAAAAUAGAUUUAAAACCAUUCAGUUCCAGACCAGUUUUGACUAAAAUGUCAUUAAACGAUCUUCUUGCCAAGUUGACAGCUCUUGACGGGUAUUCGAUUAGGUCCAUAACUCAAUCUGAAACACUAAGAAUGCUUUUUGAAAAUUACGGGCAUAGUUUGCCUAAGAUAUAACUUAUUAGAUAUAACUUGUUCGUUAAAAAGUUGUGAUAAAAAAAAUAUUUAUGUACUAAGAAAUAUAAAAAUAUAAAUUUUUUAAAAUUU